rnacentral:rRNA from 1 species
CUUUUUUAAGAGUUUGAUCCUGGCUCAGGAUGAACGUUGGUGGCGUGCCUGAGAUAUGCAAGUCGAACGUCGCUUGUCCUUCGGACAAGAAAUUCGAAUCUCGAAAUCCGAAAUCAUUAACAAAUUCAAAAUAUUAAUUACUAAGUUCAAAACAAAUAUCGUUUUGAAUUUUGAAAAUUUUAAUUUAGUUUUUGUUUCGAAUUUAGAGUUUAGUAUUUCGAGUUUCUCGACCGGAGGUCGAGCGUAGUGGCGGACGGCUGAGUAACACGUAGGGACUUACCCUAAAAUAGAGAAUAGCUCAUCGAAAGAUGGGGUAAUACUCUAUAAGGGGAAUACCGUCUGGUAUUCCUUAAAGCGCAUAACUGCGCGUUUUAGGAUGGACCUGCGGCCUAUCAGGUAGUUGGUGGGGUAAUGGCCUACCAAGCCUAUUACAGGUAGCUGGCCUGAGAGGGUGUCCAGCCAGAGGAGCACUGAGAUACGGGCUCCACUCCUACGGGAGGCAGCAAUCAGGAAUAGUCGGCAAUGGGCGAAAGCCUGACCGCGCGACGCCGCGUGCGGGAAGAAGCUCUUCGGAGUGUAAACCGCUGUUGUAGAGGAAGAAAUCCGAUUUAAUUUCGGAAUGACGGUACUCUAUCAGAAAGGGGCCGCUAACUGCGUGCCAGAAGCGUCGGUAAGACGUGGGCCCCAAACGUUAUCCGGUUUUAUUGGGCGUAAAGGGUCGUGUAGGCGUCCCGCCAAGUUUCGUUUUAAAGACUAUGGCUUAACCAUAGGAAAGGAUGAAAAACUGGCGGGAUUGAGUUUUCUUUAGGGAGACUGGAACUUAAGGAGAAGUAGUGAAAUGCGUUGAUACCUUAGGGAACACCAGUGGCGAAGGCGAGUCUCUGGAAGGAAACUGACGCUAAGAUACGAAAGCUAGGGUAGCGAAGCAGAUUAGAGACCUGCGUAGUCCUAGCCCUAAACGAAUGCCUGCUAGCUGCAUUUCUCGCCUUUGGCGAGGGGUGUGGCGAAGGUAACCCGUUAAGCAGGCCGCCUGGGGAGUACGGCCGCAAGGUUGAAACUCAAAGGAAUUGGCGGGGAGGCACACAACCAGUGGAACAUGUGGUUCAAUUCGAUACGAACCGAAGAACCUCACCAGGGUUUGACAUGUCGAUGACGUCCUCGGGAAACCGAGGUUUCCGCAAGGACAUCGACACAGGUGCUGCAUGGCUGUCGACAGCUCGUUCCGUGAGGAGUACCCUUAAGUGGGACAACGAGCGUAACCCCUAUCCGCUGUUAAAUCUAUCUGCGGAAACUGCCCCGGCAUUAGUCGGGGAGGAAGGAGGGGCAGACGUCAAGUCAGCAUGGCCCUUAUACCCUGGGCUACACACAUGUUACAAUGGAUAGUAACAACGGGUUUUGCCAGAUCGUAAGAUCGAGCUAAUCCCUAAAAUCUAUCCUCAGUGGGGAUUGAGGUCUGCAACUCGACCUCAUGAACGCGGAAUUGGUAGUAAUCGCGGAUCAGCUAUGCCGCGGUGAAUACGUUCUUGCCUCUUGCACACACCGCCCGUCAAGCCAACAAAGUCGUAAUUAUCUGAAGUUCGAUUUAUUUCGCGCGAAGAUAAUUUCGGCGAUGGGGGUUAAGUCGUAACAAGGUAUCCGUUCUGGAAGGAGCGGAUGGAUCACCUCCUUUCUAA